UCAAGCGUGAGGUAAGAGCAUUUGGUGGAUGCCUUGGCAUGUGCAGGCGAUGAAGGACGUGGCACGCUGCGAUAAGCGUCGGGGAGUUGUGAGCAAACUUUGAUCCGGCGAUUUCCGAAUGGGGAAACCCACCCUCACCAUUUCCUUUCGAUCGACCUUCGGGUGGAUCGGAAAGAGGUGGAUAGGGUAUUACCAGACUGAAUAUAUAGGUUUGGUGAAGCGAACCCGGGGAACUGAAACAUCUCAGUACCCGGAGGAAAAGACAUCAACAGAGAUUCCCGUAGUAGUGGCGAGCGAACCGGGACCAGGCCAGUGCCUUCAUUUCAACUAGCAAAACACUUUGGAAAGAGUGGCCAUAGNGGGUGACAGCCCCGUAUGCGAAAGUGAUGAUGAAGGACUCGAGUAGGGCGGGACACGUGAAAUCCUGUCUGAACAUGGGGGGACCACCCUCCAAGCCUAAAUACUCGCACAUGACCGAUAGCGAACACAGUACCGUGAGGGAAAGGUGAAAAGCACCCCGAUUAGGGGAGUGAAACAGUACCUGAAACCGGAUGCUUACAAGCAGUUGGAGCCCCAUAGGGGGUGACAGCGUACCUCUUGCAUAAUGGGUCAGUGACUUAAUNUANCNNGCAAGCUUAAGCCGUUAGGUGUAGGCGNAGCGAAAGCGAGUCUGAAUAGGGCGACUGAGUNNGAUGNAUUAGACCCGAACCCCGGCGAUCUAGGCAUGGCCAGGUUGAAGGUGCGGUAACACGCACUGGAGGACCGAACCGGUGAAUGUUGAAAAAUUCUCGGAUGAGCUGUGUUUAGGGGUGAAAGGCCAAUCAAGCCGGGAAAUAGCUGGUUCUCCGCGAAAUCUAUUGAGGUAGAGCGUCGGAUGUAUGCCGAUGGGGGUAGAGCACUGGAUGGGCUAGGGCUGCGCGAGCGGUACCAAACCUAACCAAACUCCGAAUACCAUCGAGUCNUAGUCCGGCAGACAGACGGCGGGUGCUAAGGUCCGUCGUCAAAAGGGAAACAGCCCUAACCUACAGCUAAGGUCCCCAAGUCAUAUCUAAGUGGGAAAGCAUGUGGNAAUCCCAAAACAACCAGGAGGUUGGCUUAGAAGCAGCCAUCCUUUAAAGAAAGCGUAACAGCUCACUGGUCUAAANAAGGGUUCCUGCGGCGAAGAUGUAACGGGGCUAAAGAUAUGCACCGAAGCUUAGGGUUCAGANNUUANUCUGAGCGGUAGCGGAGCGUUCCGUAAGCGAGNGAAGGNGAAGGGUAACCGACNCUGGACGUAUCGGAAGUGCGAAUGCUGACAUGAGUAGCGACAAAGAGGGUGAGAUGCCCUCUCGCCGAAAGACCAAGGGUUCCUGCGCAACGCUAAUCGGCGCAGGGUUAGCCGGCCCCUAAGACGAGCCCGAAGGGGGUAGUCGAUGGGAACCACGUAAAUAUUCGUGGGCCUGNAGAUGUGUGACGGAUCGUGGAAGUUGUUNNNNCUUAUUGGAUUGNNNGGGCAGCCAAGCGGUUCCAGGAAAUAGCCUCUNCNUAUAGACCGUACCCGAAACCGACACAGGUGGUCAGGUAGAGUAUACCAAGGCGCUUGAGAGAAGUAUCCUGAAGGAACUCGGCAAAUUGCCUCCGUACCUUCGGAAGAAGGAGGCCCCAUAUCGACGCAAGUCUUUGUGGGGGGCACAGGCCAGGGGGUAGCGACUGUUUAGCAAAAACACAGCACUCUGCUAAGUCGGCUUCAAGACGACGUAUAGGGUGUGACGCCUGCCCGGUGCUCGAAGGUUAAGAGGAGGAGUGCAAGCUCCGAAUUGAAGCCCGAGUAAACGGCGGCCGUAACNAUAACGGUCCUAAGGUAGCGAAAUUCCUUGUCGGGUAAGUUCCGACCUGCAC
rnacentral:rRNA from 1 species